AGGUAAACACUAGACGGACUGGACUGGGCAAUAGUGGCCUCAUACCUGACCAUACAGGUACACACUAGACUGGACUGGGGCAUAGUGGCCUCAUACCUGACCAUACAGGUAAACACUAGACUGGACUGGACUGGGGCAUAGUGGCCUCAUACCUGACCAUACAGAACCUGCCUGUGUUAAAGAUAGAGAGCUUUGUGGUGAAGAACUGUGUUACCGAGCAACAGAGGUACUACAGGAAGUGGAGAGACGUGACCUUUUCCAUGAAGACCUUUGAACUCACAGACAUAGCUGAUAGCUGGAAUCCACUGCUUGAAGACCAGUAGGCCUCUACACCUGUCAAUCUGGAAAGGAGGAGCCAUGAAGAGYGAGAAGAGAGAGGCAUUGGUCAUUACCAAGCAAGGCCAGGAGCCUCAGGACCUGAACAUCCAAUCAGAUCAAAACCAAUUACAACACAGUCAAAACAAAACGGCUUAUUGGGAAGCACAAAGCAAAAUGCUAUCUGGCCAUACAUCGACAGUACAAUGUGGCUAACUAUUUGACCAUGGUUACUGAUCAAAACCUUUAGAAAAACCUUGACAAAGUACAGGCACAGUGAGCACAGCCUUGCCAUUGAGAAGGGUAGACACAGGAAAACAUGGCUCCCUGUAGAGGGUAGGCUAAGAUCUCUGAUUAAAAUAGGCGACUGAAUUCUGUUGGGGGAAGAUGAAGAGAACUGUGGGUUGUCAGCACACAUGUUAUUGUUAUUGUUCAAUGUAUGGUUAUUUUGACCCUUGAUUAUUGUUGUUACUGUUUGUCCCCUUGACAAUAUUGAUUAUUAUUAUUUGGAAUUAUGUUAAUGUAGUAAAUUAAUCACUUCAUUUCCAAAGUAUAGUGUUUGGCAAUAUGUACAUUGUUACGUCAUGCCAAUAAAGCAAAUUGAAUGAGAGAGAGAGA